rnacentral:lncRNA from 1 species
AGAUCAAUUAUUGAUCUACAAAUUAAUGAAAAAAAAAUACAUAUGUAGGUUAAUUCCUCAUUAAAUUACUUAACUGGGACGUUUGUUCUACUUCUUGAAAAAAAAAAAGGUGAUUUGUGGGUUACAACCUUUUACCUUUCAACCAUGAAAAAGAGCUCGAUGUCUGAAUGCCAUUGGCCAACGUACAUGCUAUUAAAAAAAUAUUAGUUAGUCUAAGAUACGAUGUAAGGUCGACCAGCACCGAUCUGUUUAAUGGAUGAAAAUUAUUUGAUAAUAUGUAAUUUAGUAUGUAUGUUAAAAAUUAUGAGAAACAAGGGUUGCCCGAUAAUUUUGUCUGACUAUAAUUAAUUAAUAAUUAAAAAAAUGACUUUUUAUAAAUUCUACCAAAAUUCUUUCGGCAUGGGCAGAAGUUGUUCGUUGUUGAGUUAUAAACAAUUAAAAACUGAAAAAA